ACGGGUGCGUAACACGUAGAUAAUCUGCCCUUCAAAGGGGGAUAACGUUCCGAAAGGAGCGCUAAUACCGCAUAAAGCCGAGUCGGGUUCGCCUGAUUCGGACAAAGGCUGGGACCGCAAGGCCAGUCGUUGAAGGAGGAGUCUGCGGCCCAUCAGCUAGUUGGUAAGGUAAUGGCUUACCAAGGCAAAGACGGGUAGCUGGUCUGAGAGGAUGAUCAGCCACACUGGUACUGGAACACGGACCAGACUCCUACGGGAGGCAGCAGUGGGGAAUCUUGGUCAAUGGGCGCGAGCCUGAACCAGCGACGCCGCGUGAGUGAUGAAGGCCUUCGGGUUGUAAAGCUCUGUGGGGAGGGACGAAAGACUGAGGUCUAAUAGGCUUCAGGUUGACGGUACCUCCUUAGCAAGCACCGGCUAACUCUGUGCCAGCAGCCGCGGUAAGACAGAGGGUGCAAACGUUGCUCGGAAUCACUGGGCGUAAAGGGCGUGUAGGCGGGAAGGAAAGUCAGAUGUGAAAUCCCCAGGCUCAACCUGGGAACUGCAUUUGAAACUCCCUUUCUUGAGUACCGGAGAGGAAAGUGGAAUUCCUGGUG
rnacentral:rRNA from 1 species